ensembl:lncRNA
UGCCUGUAGCCCAAAAUAGCCCGUGCGAAUUUACACUCAUUUUGCCAGCACGGUCACAUAUGCGUCACUAAACCGUACCAAAAAAAAAAAUAAAGUACGAAAUUGUUGCAGUUUUAAUGACAUACAGAACACAAAGCCUCAGAAAAUCUGAUCUGCAGAACAAACUGAGACACUAAAGCUUCUUUCAGUCUGACAGAAGAGAAACUCAAAGCUCUGCUGCAAACUCAUGAACAGUCCAGAAAGUGCUGCUGUAAAUAAUGAAGAAACUAAAACUUGACUGCAAAAAUUUUAUUGUUUACUGUAAUGUGAUGAUCAGAGUUAAAAUACUCCAGUCCACAGCACAAAAUCAACUACAACAACACCAGCAACUUCUACACCAGCUCGAGCUGAUUCAACAACAGCAGAGACUCCAGUCCACAUCACAAAAUCAACUACAACAACACCAGCAACUUCUGGUUCAUUAUUCAGAAGUAACAUGUCUUUACCUGCAGUUUGUUAAUUCUGAAACAGUCAAUCUGCAAUGCUUUGUCAAGAACUGUUCAGUGUUUUAUAUUUUUGAUUUGAUUCCCAGUUUCACAGAUUGAGUCUGUUUAUUCUGUUGAUCGUGUCUUUCAUCUUUCCUGCAGUGAUUGUGAUUAUUGUAGAGUUUGCAGUGUUUGCUGCUCCUACUGUGAUUCUUCUUCAGAUCAUCUGUGACAGAAGAGCUGGUGAGUUUUUUUUUUUAAGCCUCACACAAUCUGCAACAAUAUUUAAAACAGCAAAAACUUAUAGAGGAUUGUCUAUUAUUUUAUUUAUUUAUGUUUUCAUCUCAGAAAACAAAGAAAAACUCUGACCACCUUGAAGAAAUGAUGAUGCCAUCCAUUUUUAUUUUUAUUUUUUUAACAAAUAACUGGCGAGCUGUAUUUUCAUUUCUGUGGAGUUAAUGGAUAUUUGCAUGCAGUGUUUACAGUCAUUUUCUUGUGUUUGGUAUAUAACCUGCUUUAAAUACAGUAUUAAAUACAGUAAUGGGCAGAUUAUUUGUAUAAUAAUCUCCAUUAUGUGUGAUGGAGCUGCUUUGGUGAAUCUUUUAUCUCAUCUGUUUGUUUUUGUUUUUUAUCAUUUAUUUUUAUUAAUUUGUUUAUAUUUUGGGUGAUAGCUAAUCAUUUCCUUAAUAAAACCUCUGCAACUGCGUUUAACA